rnacentral:rRNA from 1 species
GAUGAACGCUGGCGGCGUGCUUAACACAUGCAAGUCGAGCGAAGCGCUUAAGUUUGAUUCUUCGGAUGAAGACUUUUGUGACUGAGCGGCGACGGGUGAGUACGCGUGGUAACCUGCCUCAUACAGGGGGAUAACAGUUAGAAAUGACUGCUAAUACCGCAUAAGACCACAGGAUCGCAUGAUCCGGUGGUAAAAACUCCGGUGGUAUGAGAUGGACCCGCGUUGGAUUAGCCAGUUGGCAGGGUAACGGCCUACCAAAGCGACGAUCCAUAGCCGGCCUGAGAGGGUGAACGGCCACAUUGGGACUGAGACACGGCCCAG